rnacentral:lncRNA from 1 species
CCUGCGUCAUUCACCUCACUCCAUCUCAUCACACAGGCGUUGUAUCAACUCCCAUCAUCGCAAGAAGAAGGAGGUUUGUUUCUCAGCCUUUCCAAAGCCAGACCAACAGCUUCAUGAAACACCAUGAGUUCCACACCAAGAAGGAUAAUGCUGUUUAACGUCUCCCUCUAGCACCUCCCAUUGGUGGAACACAGCUGGAAGCCAGCAGACAAGGGAGUCUGUCGAAGAAUGCAGCCAGUGGGCGUCAACCCCCUUGCCUGAGACUGUGUCUGCUCUGUAGCAGGAUAACUGUCAUAAAUCUGACCCAUUCAUGGAGGGGCUAAGAGAAAUGAAGGAUAAUAGCCGAAUGUCCAUCAGCUAGUGAUUGGAGAACAUGUGGACUAUCCAUACGAUGGAAUACUAUGCAGCAAUAAAGGAGAUCCCUGCUACGACAUGGAUGUACCUCAAGAACAUUGUGCCAAGUGAAAGGAGCCAGACACAAAAGACCACAGAUUGUUUGAUUCCAUUUAUACGAAAUGUCCAAAAUAGGCAAAUCUAUCAAGACAGAAAAUAGACCAGUCGUUACUUGGGGCUGGGGGUGUGAACAGGCAAUGACUGCCAAUGGGCAUGAGGUUUCUUUUAGGGGUGAUGGAAAAUGUUCUCAAACUAGAUUGCGCUGAUGGUUG